UGAACACUUGGACAUUCCUCUUUAUUGUUCACAUUCCAACCCAGCACAGUCACAUGCACACACGGAGAUUAAAAACCUUUCGGCCACAGCCCCAGGAGCCCGGCGGGGGGAAGGGCGGGGCCGACGGGGGCGGGGCGGGGCCGUGGAAGACUCCUCCUACCGAGCCUCCCAGGCGCUCGGCGUUUGCAUAAACAAGAGAGCUGGAGAGGCUGCCCUCAACAGUGCGCUGGGGAAAGGGGAGGGAACGUGACAGGCAGGUGUGGGAUAGGGACUUCUCUUCCGGUCAGAGCAAGGGGCGUCCGAAACCAUAAAAACACUUUCCCUUCAUCUCACCCCAGAUCCAAAGUCCUGAGGCUAGGCUGGGGCGGGAGUGGCACGGAGAUGUAGGGCGCCCCUUUUAGCUGCGCACAGAACGAAAGAACUUGUUUUUUCUUUAAGUGAGUGUACUUGGGUGACGCUUAGGGCGCCCUCCGCAGUGCGCGCAGGAAAGCGCACUGAGGCUGCGGAGGCAGAGCUGCAUGCUGGGUGCGGGGAGAGGUGGGCGAGAAGCAAAA